rnacentral:rRNA from 1 species
GACGGAGGAUGCAAGUGUUAUCCGGAAUCACUGGGCGUAAAGCGUCUGUAGGUGGUUCAAUAAGUCAACUGUUAAAUCUUGAGGCUCAACUUCAAAGUCGCAGUCGAAACUAUUGGACUCGAGUAUAGUAGGGGUAAAGGGAAUUUCCAGUGGAGCGGUGAAAUGCGUAGAGAUUAGGAAAGAACACCAAUGGCGAAAGCACUUUACUGGGCUAUUACUGACACUGAGAGACGAAAAGCUAGGGUAGCAAAUGGG